rnacentral:tRNA from 1 species
UGGGGAAUCGUCCAAUGGCAGGACACACGGCUCUGGACCGUGUAAUCGGGGUUCGAAUCCCUGUUCCCCAG